UUCAGGCAACCCUUGGCACUCCAUUGUGUGGGGUAGGUGCGGCUGGGAGCCCUUCUCCCCCAGGUUCCACUUGCCCUUCACUGGUGGGAGACCUGGAAGCCCCUUCCUAAUGCCUCCAGGCCUUGGCAGUGAGCUCUCAGUGGGCCCCUGUCUGUGGAAAGCACUCCACCCACAGAACCUGAGACGUUAUCUAGACUGGUUUUCAUUUUACACCUGUGGAAACUGAGUCCCAGAGAGGUGAAACGGCUCGUCCAAGCCACACAGCUCUAGGUGUUGCUGAAGCAGGACUGCACUCUCCUGGCUCCUGGUUCAAAGUGCUUUCCAGAAUUUUCAAAUGGUUCCAAACUCUGUUUUGAUUUGUGCAACCUUGGGCAUGCUAAUUCAGUUCCCUGGGACAGAAAUUUUCAUCCUUGUGAAGAAGAAAUGUUGAGUGUCUACUUUGAGGGACAGCGUGCAUUGUGUGGAUUAUUAGAAAGCAGUGAGGUCCUAACAGGUGCCAGCCAUCUCCUGAGCAGUCACGCUGGAUCACUGUCCCUGGGGGUGGGAGCCACCCUGUUUCAUACCUGCAGGGCCUGCCCCACCCCACCCCUAACCCCUCUGGCAGGUCUGUGGCAGUGAUCUCUCCUCACCUGUUGCGGCCAGCACCUGGGGAGGCCUUGGUGUUUCUCCUGCAACCUGGGUCUGAACUGGCAGCUUGUGUGGUGCACAGACACCGGGGCACCGGGGUAGUAGAAGCAGAGAGGAAAGUCAGAGUUAGCUCCUCAACCACUAUGUUUGGAAAGGCGAGAUCCCCCUCCCAGGAACCUUCACACUCAUCCUGUGUCUCACACACUGUGCCUGUGAAGUUGGUGGGGAAUCUUUGUUGGUUUGUUUUGUUUUUCUUGUGCUGGGGAUAGAACCCAGGACCUUGGGCAUGCCGGGCAAGCCUCCACCACCGAGCUCCACCCCCAUCCCGAGAACUGAAGAAUGAAUUCUAAGGAACAACAGAGGUUAAGAAUAGGGAAGAUUGGGCCGGGGAUUUAGCUCAGUGGUUUCGUCGCCUGCUGCACAAGCGCAAGGACCUGAGUUCGAUCCCCAUUACAAAAAAAAAAAAAAAAUAGGGAAGAUUUAUUGAGAGGUAGCUGCUGAGAGACAGGAAGGGGCCUGAAAGUGGCUGCCACUGAGGCCAUUUCUCCAACAGUGUAUUAUAGAGUAAAAUUCUGAGGUGAGUACAACGUGGGUCACACUGUAAUCAGUCAGUAAGAUUACAAGUAUAGCCGAUUAGCUAAUAUUGAUCUGAAAGAGAAGCGGGUCUCAUAGCAGGGGUACAUGGAAAGAACAAAGGCAUUUUUGGGAAGGGAUGGCCCAGAUGCUCGGAUCACCCAGCUGGGCGACUGAUGUCUAUCUGGACUUUACUGGACCAGAUGACACCAAUUAUAGUGCAACUCCUAGUUGCUGUUGGGAGGCAUACAGGCCUGGUCACUGCAUCUUUAUCUUGUGCCUUGGCCUUCUUCAGAUGCACCUCCAGCCACAGUUCUGAUGUCUUUAUUUUUUCUGCUCUCUUCCUUGACAGCCCAGCCCCUCUCUGACUGUAUAUUCAUUUCCAUCUAACUUAGCUGCCUGCAGUAGGAGGCCACCUUAGGUCUUCUCCCAUCUCUUACACACCUGCUCAGUGGCUCUGGUCCAUUUGGUCAUCAGGCAGAUGUGUCCCGGGUCCUUUUACCUGCUGGGCCUGGUGCCCAAGCCUUGUGAUGGAGCCCCAGCCCGCCCAGGGGGUGAGGAAGGCUGUUGCAGGGUGGAGUCCCAGGAAAGCUCCCGGAGGUCUUGGUUUUCUUCUGCUUUCUCACUGUUGGGCCGUCAAGGGGCCUGGAGAGGAGGGGAGCGGUUUGGAACUUGAGAGGGGCUUGCUCCCCUAGAAGGCUGCCGCUCUGCUCCUUAACUUUCCUAGAGGUCACCCCUCCACUUCCCUCCUCUUCCUGCCCCUCCUCUCCAGGUGAGCCUUCAGGCGGCUCUCCUGAUUGAGCUUCUGUUUGCCAGCUACACAGAGUGCUCCGGGGGCACCGGGCAGGAGGAUUUGAGUAGGGAGAGUUAGACCCUGUCCCCUGGCCCUUGCUUCUGCUCCAGAAGUCAGAGGAGGGGAGCUCCCCAGAUCUGGCAUGGAGGAGUGGCCACUGGGAUCUGUCACUCUCAAGCGUGGAUGAGAAGUGCACCUUGGGGCUUAGGACCAGCCGAGUCAGGGAAAGUGGCACCGAACCACUUCUUGUUCCAGGGCCUCCCUGAGUCUGGGGACCAGGCCCUGGAGGGAAGGGCUGGUGGCUGGAGUUGGCAUCAUGGGAGUCCAACCCCACCCUGGGCACCUGGAAUGGGCAGUGGGGGAGACUGAGGCAUGGGGGAUAAGACAGUGGGGCUUAGGAGGACGGGGAACUCCUCAGGUUGGGCUGGGCUGGGAAUGCUAAAAGGUAGGGGUGGCAAGAGUGCUUGGACCCCCAGGACAGAGUGGACUGGAAAAGAGGGGGAGUACGGGCUCCACAACCUAAGAACAGAGGGGCGGUGGGCGGGCGAGCGAGCGAGCGGGCUGCUUCCUUCCCAACUCCUUAACUCCUUUCAAUGAAUACUUCCUUGGCCCAGCCCCCAGUUACCUGGCUGAGGGCCUCCCGGACCGGGGAGGCUGCUCCACAGUUCCGGGGUUGUGGGAGGAUGGGGAAAUUCCUCUCCCCGCCUUAGAAGGUCUUGCUCCUGCUAGAGAGAACUGAGGAGCCUGGGGAAGGCAGGUGCCAUGACUGAUGGACGCUGGAGAGCUGCAAUUAAUUUUAAACAAGGUUGCCUGGACUUGGAGAACAAGGGCAGGUCAUGGGUGAGGCUGGGCUGCCAAAGUCUCUGUUUGCCCAGGGAGGACCUGGUCCCUUGAGUACUCACAGCAGGUGAGUGUCCGGCCUCCCACACUGAGGGUGGGGAGUGGAGUGGGCUGGAUGCCUUUGCCCCAGAACCCCUCCCUCCAGGCUGCGCAGCCCCACCCUGGGGUCUCUCCUUUCCCUCAGGGACCCUGGGAGAUGUGGCAGUGGGGAAAGGUCACCUUGAACCCAGGGCAGGCCAGCUCAGACUAAGGUCUGGUCCCGGAACCUCCCUCUUGGGACGGUGGGUCCCAGAGACCCUCCCCUUUCCAAAGGGUGGGGAUUUGGGGAGAAGUCCCCUCUGCUGGUCUAGGGACUGCCAAGCCGCACAAGGUGGCCCUGGAACACCUGCAGCUGCUUUGUAAUCCUCAGGGCCCCUGGGCUGAGUGCUCCUUGGAAAGAUAAAGAAGUGCAGGUGCCUGCCUCUGCUUGAGAUGCUUCGGUUGGCCUCGGAUGAGUGAGGGGUGGUGUCGAGGGGCACCAGAGCCAGCCCUUGGCCUCUGUGGUCCGUGCAGAGGACCAGCUGGUGUUCGGCAUGCCUGGGAUGAGGGGGAGGAAGAGGAAGGCUCCGCAGCUCUGAGUGGUGCGAAGUUCUGUCCUCCGCUGUCCCUCCUCUUUUUCCUCUACCUCCUCCCCUCCUCCUUCGCUCCUCCUCUUCUCCUCUACUUUAUUUUAGUUUUGGGUUCUUGAAGCGGGGUCUCAGUGUAGCCCUGCUGGCCUCCAGCCCCAUCCCUCUGCCUCCGUCUCCAAGUGCUUGAGUGAUUACGGGCCUGGGCCACCAUGCCGACCCUUCCCCACCUCUUCUGAUAGUUGACUUGAUUUUCCCUGGUUUGUUUUUCAUUUUUGUUUCUGUGUUUUUGUACUGACAAUUGAACUCGGCCCAGCACCUUUACACUAAGGUAUAUUCCCAGCUGUAAAAAAUUGUUUUUUAACUUUCAUCUUGAGACAGUCUCACUGGGCAGCUAAGUUACUGAAGAAGGCCGUGCUGGGAUUUACAGUCCUCUUGCCUCAGCCUCCUACAGCGCCGAGAUGACGGAUGUGCACCAUCACACCCGGCUGAGUUUCCCUUUCGUAGUCGCCUCUCAGCAGAGCUCACUGCAGUGGGAGCCGCUGUCAGGAAGCGAGACCCGGAGGCCGCUGCUGGGCCCAGCAGUGUGGGCUUUGCUGCCUGUGCGGACCUCUCUGCCGAGAAUGGAAGCCUGUGGGGAUGUGGGGCAACGGAAAGGCGGCCCAGGACGUGGCGGGGUCAUUGGCUGGGCAGUGCAGUUUGAAGCCCCUGUGAGACCCGGACCUGGGACUCCCCCACUGCUCUGAGAGAGUUGCAGUGGCCUGUGGGGAACCCUCUUCCCCCCUGAAUGCUGGGCUCGGGGAGAAGCUCUCAGGGGAGGUCUUCAGACCUAGGUCACCAAGGGUUUCAGGGACAGAUUGAACCCAGCCUGGCAGAGUGCAGCGUUUUCCUCCCUUCGCCUCUGUCCCUGCCCUGGGCUGGGGGUUGUGGCACAACAGCUCAGGAGCAGGAGGUGGGAGUCGGAAUCGGAAGUGUCACUCGCAGCAAAGGGGAACUGAGCCAGGCCGGGCAGAGGCCUCUGGAUAGCCAGGCCUGCGCAACAGGGGAUUUAGUCGGUUAGAUUUUGGCUUUCCCUACUCACAGGCGAGGGCAAUUGCAGAGAUAUUCCAGUGCAGAAAGUAGCUGGCAUCUGUUUGGUUCUGGGGUGUGCUGAGGUUUAAAAGUCAUAUUUACCUCAUUAAUUAUGUCAGCCUUCAGCUAAUAUUAACCUGCAUUUCCUGACUGGGCAGCCAGGGGUGGCACCGAGGGGC
rnacentral:lncRNA from 1 species